UUCCGUUUUAUUACAAAAAUGAAGAUCAGUUUGAUCAAAAUGAAAGCUUGUUCACAAGUUUUACAUGAAUAUUCUAAAUACAAAGUCUCCUGAAACAACAUACUUUUGAUAUGAUUUUCAUUUUUAAAGGGAUGCAAACAUUCCAUUUUCUCAUUUAUAAUCUAUUCCAAGGCAAAGUAUUUUAAUAGUGUAUCCUUUCUGCAGUUAGAUCACAAUUCACAAGUAUAACUGAAACAGACAAAACCUUGUCAGCAAAGGUUAAAAGUCCUUUUUAAAAAAAAAAAAAGAGGUAAAUAACCAGCCCUUACGUGUUUUCAGAAUUUUGUACUACACUGACAUGAUUUGCAGUCAGGUUUUUCUUCCUACCCCUUAAGGCUACAAAAUUCUGUUGCAAAUGCAUUGCAAAAGAAUUCUAGACCACUUAAUGCAAAAAUCAAAAAAUAGUUUUUCAAUAAAAAGUAAAUUUUAUAAAUGGUAGGAAACAGUAUCUGUGGUAAGCUACUAAUUGACAUUUUCCCCCUAUUACUAAACAAAUCAUGUUACACAGAAACAAGGAAGACAGGUUAUCAAAUACAACAAGCUUAUACUGUUUACAUCCCUCAUUAAAAAAAAUAAUAAUUUCAUACUUUUCACACACUGCAUUUGAAAUUUACAUUUUUCCCAUCAGGUUGGAGGGGGAGGAUAAUAUUGUCCAUAAUUCCAAGGAUUCUGAUAAUUGUACUGAAAGGAAAAACACCUUUAUUGAACCACUAGACUAGUUUCUGUAAGGAAGGACGAAGAGAGGCAACGAGGUUGGCAUAUGCAGCAGUCAAAUCUGGUUGCAAGCAGACCAUCUCCUAAUGCAACAGAUAUAGUUAUAUGAACAACAUUCAACAGAAGUACAAAAAAGGUUAGUCACUAGAUCAAUGUUUAUAAUAUAUUCAAGUUUAAGAGCACAUGAUUUUCUUACCUUAAUCCAAAACUCCUCAUAGAGGGCACAUGAUAUGACACAUCUUUCAAAGAGAACCACAACUCGUUCAUGAGUCCCAUUUUCAAUUUCAAAUUCUAAGUAUUCUUUCCAGUUUUUU
rnacentral:lncRNA from 1 species